AGGAACUCUGCUGUACAAAUCAAUCCUAUCAGAAUUCGGCGAACCAAGAGCCGGAUGAGGACAAGUCUGUGGGGACUUAUAGAAACGUCUUGGAAAGAACCUCCAGAGAUGUUGCUGCUGCUGCUGCGGCUGCUGCCAUCAGUGCCAACACCGUUUCCUUUCAUGAUCCAGCACAACCAAUAAGAUCUGAGAAGUGUGAGCUACGAGAAAUUGAUACAGCUGACUCGGAAAUAUCCAACUCGUCUGACACCAGCAUAUCAUCCUCGGAAGCUGUAUCAGAUUCAUUAACUACAACCUUUCAUGCCUUUGUGAGGGAUAGCAUGAUGGAGCCAAGGAUAUGCCAGGACCCAGUUGACAUAGAGUUUCCACUGGAUUCAAGCAUUCUAGAAGAAUCCCAGGAUUUAAUGAAAUUGGAGAUGUCCAUGAUGCAGGAUACCCUGAUGGAGCCACUGAUGCAGGAUGCCCUAAUGGAGCCAGUGAUGCAGGAUGCCUUGAUAGAGUCAGUGAUGCAGGAUGCCUUGAUGGAGCCAGUGAUGCAGGAGGUAACGAUGGAGCCAGGGGUACGAGAAGUCCUGGUGAAGCCAGUGAUUCCAGAAGUGCAGAUGGAGCCAGUGGUGCCGGAGGACCUGUUCUCCUGUGGUGGGGCUACAAGCACCAGUGC